rnacentral:rRNA from 1 species
GGCGUGCCUAAUACAUGCAAGUCGAACGCACUCUCGUUUAGAUUGAAGGAGCUUGCUCCUGAUUGAUAAACAUUUGAGUGAGUGGCGGACGGGUGAGUAACACGUGGGUAACCUGCCCUAAAGUGGGGGAUAACAUUUGGAAACAGGUGCUAAUACCGCAUAAAACCUAACACCGCAUGGUGUAGGGUUGAAAGAUGGUUUCGGCUAUCACUUUAGGAUGGACCCGCGGUGCAUUAGUUAGUUGGUGAGGUAAAGGCUCACCAAGACCGUGAUGCAUAGCCGACCUGAGAGGGUAAUCGGCCACACUGGGACUGAGACACGGCCCAGACUCCUACGGGAGGCAGCAGUAGGGAAUCUUCCACAAUGGACGAAAGUCUGAUGGAGCAACGCCGCGUGAGUGAAGAAGGUUUUCGGAUCGUAAAACUCUGUUGUUGGAGAAGAAUGUAUCUGAUAGUAACUGAUCAGGUAGUGACGGUAUCCAACCAGAAAGCCACGGCUAACUACGUGCCAGCAGCCGCGGUAAUACGUAGGUGGCAAGCGUUGUCCGGAUUUAUUGGGCGUAAAGCGAGCGCAGGCGGUUUCUUAAGUCUGAUGUGAAAGCCUUCGGCUCAACCGAAGAAGUGCAUCGGAAACUGGGAAACUUGAGUGCAGAAGAGGACAGUGGAACUCCAUGUGUAGCGGUGAAAUGCGUAGAUAUAUGGAAGAACACCAGUGGCGAAGGCGGCUGUCUGGUCUGUAACUGACGCUGAGGCUCGAAAGCAUGGGUAGCAAACAGGAUUAGAUACCCUGGUAGUCCAUGCCGUAAACGAUGAGUGCUAGGUGUUGGAGGGUUUCCGCCCUUCAGUGCCGCAGCUAACGCAUUAAGCACUCCGCCUGGGGAGUACGACCGCAAGGUUGAAACUCAAAGGAAUUGACGGGGGCCCGCACAAGCGGUGGAGCAUGUGGUUUAAUUCGAAGCAACGCGAAGAACCUUACCAGGUCUUGACAUCCUUUGACCACUCUAGAGAUAGAGCUUUCCCUUCGGGGACAAGGUGACAGGUGGUGCAUGGUUGUCGUCAGCUCGUGUCGUGAGAUGUUGGGUUAAGUCCCGCAACGAGCGCAACCCUUGUCGUUAGUUACUACCAUUAAGUUGAGGACUCUAGCGAGACUGCCUGGGUUAACCAGGAGGAAGGUGGGGAUGACGUCAAAUCAUCAUGCCCCUUAUGUGUAGGGCUACACACGUGCUACAAUGGCUGGUACAGAGAGAUGCAAUACCGCGAGGUGGAGCCAAACUUAAAAACCAGUCUCAGUUCGGAUUGUAGGCUGAAACUCGCCUACAUGAAGCUGGAGUUACUAGUAAUCGCGAAUCAGAAUGUCGCGGUGAAUACGUUCCCGGGUC